CAUGUGAUUCCUGGCUGACUGGGAAGAGGACGGCACCUGGCAUGGUGAGCAUUGAGCACGCCCGAAGAAGCGAUGACCCAGAAACCAUCCUCCCGUACAGAAUCAGGUCACAGGAAUUUCGGAGGAUAAAUCUGGCAGCUGGAACAUCGUUAGGCUCACCAUGGCUCCACCUUCUAUGAAGACUUGAUGUUACAGAAUUGAACAGACCUCUCAUUAAAGAACCCAUGAUUACCCAUCGCCCACACGGUCGAUUUCAACCCAUGAGAGGGUACAAGUACCAGUAGCCGCUCCCCCCACCACCACCCCAUACAGAGUCUCCUGUGGCCCAGGCUCUUCUCAAAGUCACUGUGCAGCUAAAGAUGACUUGGAGCUUCAAUUUCUGAUGACCCUGCCUCCACGUCCCAAGGCUGGAGUUGCAGGUGUGUCUACCAUUCUUGGUUUAAUGCAGUGCUAGGACUCAAACCCAAGACUUGGCACAUGCCAGCUCUCUCUGUUUACGAGCUCCAUGCCUGAGAUAGCCCUGGAUCAUUAGCAAAUGGAUUCAUGUGACUGCUGGACUCCACGCAACCUGAGCUCAGAAACUCUGUCUUGUUGGAUCUAAACAGUGUCUGGCACCCAGACAUGUGGAAUGACUCUGUGUGAAUAACCAGGUACAUACACACACACACACACACACACACACACACACACACACACACAGGACACAUAUGUUUGGUGGGUGUGUAUUCAGGAAGCUUAUUAGAACUCAUUGAACUUGGAACAAUUCUACAGGAUCUGAUGACCUUGUUUAGAAGGAGCCAGGGCCUAUGAAUAAAUAAUGGUCUCCUGAAAGGGGUAGACACUUCCUGUAUGGCUAAGCACUCAUGUGGUUUGCAUAAAUGAAUUUUUAUAAUAAAGAUUUUCAGGGUCAGUGAGAUGGUUCAGCCCUUGAUGGCCACUUGCCAUCAUGCCUGACUGCCUGUGUUGCAUCAUCAGGAUUCACUUGGUGGAGGGAGAGGACCAACUCCUGAAAGGACUGUGCCAGGAAGGCAGCCCUCAGGAUGCUGGAGAGAGAGGAGCCAGAAAGUGUUACUAACAAAGUGAGAAAUGAAGAAAGGAUUCAUCGACGACGAUCUACAGAUGCACAUGCUGGAAAUGUGGGACUACGGAAGCAAUUGACACAAGUCUGUGUCUUUUAAAGCAACAGCACCACCACCACCACUACAGCAUGGUCCCUUAUGACCAGACUGACCUCAAAUUUGCUAUGUGGCUAAGGACGACCUUGAGCUUCUGAUCCCUCAGCCUCCUGCCCUAAUUGCCAGGAUUACAAAUAUACACUACCACGCCGAGUUUAAGCAGUUUUGAGGCUCAAACCUGGGCUCAAACAGGUUCGUGAAGCCUGUGUUCUGUACCCUUAUUGCCCCUCACCUUGGCACAUUUAUACGUGUGAAUGAAUCCCCUUGGGUGGCCUUGCCUCCUGCAGGCUGGUGGAACAGUGGAAACACCUGUCUCAGGUUGCCCUGAUAUGCAAAUCACUCACCUGAGCUUAACAAGAGUUUGAAGUCUGCUGCCAAAUCUGUUCAAAAGUACCUAGAGAGGCCAGGAGCUCAGUAGAGGGUGCUUAAUAAAGCAUGUGGGAGGAAGGGGGGAUGGAGGGAGAGAAGAGGAAGGGGAGGGAAAAGAAAGGAAAGGAGACAGGGAAGGAAAGAGAGAGGGGAUAUAUUUUAUAUUUUAAGUACGUAUAUAUUUAUUUUUACCUAGAAAUUUUACUGUGCCCAUUGCACAAAUUGUUUAAUACAAGAAAACUAUUCCAGUAAGCCUCAUAUGCAGAUAAAGCUGUGAAAUCUGUAAAAAGUUUGUAGGUUUGCCCUGUAGGGUUCGCAUACCAGUUUUCAGACUGAAGAAGCACAAAAUACAGACAACACAAGAUACGUGGCCAACUGUGAAAGAUUAACAACAGAGAGGUUAACAGUAAAUACUAAUAUAUACAAAGCAAAAUCGAUGUCUCUACAUCACGGUCAUUCACAUUUGGAACGAAAUUUUUUGAUAGAUUGGCAAAAAGAAAGCAUUAAUUCAUAGGAUCAGAGUGUAAUGAGACGGCAGGCGGGUGAGGUUAUCCCCUCCUGGAGAACAGCUUGUUCGUGCUGGUCGGCUCAUGGGUCUACAGAGGUGCUGUGUACAUGGCGUCAGGUCUUUAGACAAUGAAGAAAGACUUCAACCAUGCUCAGGGGAGAGCAUCCCUGGAACUGCCCCUCCUUCCACUUGCUGUGUGGAAUGCUGGGAAAGUUUUUUUUAAUCAGCUCUGCGGGAGUGCACCUCUGGAAAUUCACCUUCAAGAAAAACUAAGACCUUGUGCCUGAUGGGUGACUCACUCCUCCAGGCAGUUUCUUACCAACUCCAUGUAGGAGGCCUUGAGUGCCUGGCUUGUUUCGCCUGCCCCUAGGAGGCGGGAACAAACACGUGUUCACCCCAGAUCCUGCACCGAGGAAAGACCCCCGCCUAGUCCAGCUUGUGAACCCCUGAGUAUACUUACCGGAGUAUAAGUGAGGGGGUGCUUGUGGGAGAGUGAGUUACCCCAGACAGCUGCAACACUGAGAAGCCUCCCACCACAUGGGUUAAGGACCUCCUUCCAGCUGCAUAGUCUCUCCUUCCUUUACCCUUCCUAAGACCACGUGCAGAUGGAACAGAAUUAAUUACAGCUGGGAGGGAGCCGCUGGUGAGCAUGCAAAGGUGUCUCAUGACAAUCUAAUAAGACCCCCACCCCCUCCUUUGACGUAAAAGGUCAAAAGACUACCCUUGUUGGGGAGGGAGGUCUCCUGUCCCUAACCAUGGUUACUCCACAAAGUGGAGAUGGCUGCUUUGUUUAGAGAACAUGGGUCCACAAGCUCACACCUGGAAAGCCCCAGGUUCCAACCCCAGCCCCACAAAUUAAAAAAUAAAAUGAAGGUUCAUUUUUUUCUUUUUUCCAAAACAGAGACAGCAAAAUUUAGUAUGUGAUUACUGCAUGCGUUUUUCCAUGAAAGGGGGAUUCUUCACCAAAGGUGUGUCCACUGCUGCCUUCAGACCCUCAAGGAAAGAAAACUCCAGUUCCAUGGGCACUGGUUGGUUUGAGUCCAGGAAUGUUUUACCAACAGCAUCACUUCUAAACCCUGGCACUGCUUAAAGCAGACACCAACCAGUCUAUAUCCAGCUAGGUGCUCCCAUGUAGACUAUGAGAGCUAUGUAAAAGAAGAGCUGGGGAAAGACAUGUGUGCCUCUUCCCUUGGCCAUCAGACCAUUGAAACAAUCGA